GACGAACGCUGGCGGCGUGCUUAACACAUGCAAGUCGAACGAAGAGCGAUGGAAGCUUGCUUCUAUCAAUCUUAGUGGCGAACGGGUGAGUAACGCGUAAUCAACCUGCCCUUCAGAGGGGGACAACAGUUGGAAACGACUGCUAAUACCGCAUACGAUCUAAUCUCGGCAUCGAGGAAAGAUGAAAGGUGGCCUCUAUUUAUAAGCUAUCACUGAAGGAGGGGAUUGCGUCUGAUUAGCUAGUUGGAGGGGUAACGGCCCACCAAGGCGAUGAUCAGUAGCCGGUCUGAGAGGAUGAACGGCCACAUUGGGACUGAGACACGGCCCAGACUCCCACGGGAGGCAGCAGUGGGGAAUCUUCCGCAAUGGACGAAAGUCUGACGGAGCAACGCCGCGUGAGUGAUGACGGCCUUCGGGUUGUAAAGCUCUGUUAAUCGGGACGAAAGGCCUUCUUGCGAACAGUUAGAAGGAUUGACGGUACCGGAAUAGAAAGCCACGGCUAACUACGUG
rnacentral:rRNA from 1 species